rnacentral:rRNA from 1 species
ACGGGAGACACACGGCGGGUGCUAACGUCCGUCGUGAAGAGGGAAACAACCCAGACCGCCAGCUAAGGUCCCAAAGUCAUGGUUAAGUGGGAAACGAUGUGGGAAGGCCCAGACAGCCAGGAUGUUGGCUUAGAAGCAGCCAUCAUUUAAAGAAAGCGUAAUAGCUCACUGGUCGAGUCGGCCUGCGCGGAAGAUGUAACGGGGCUAAACCAUGCACCGAAGCUGCGGCAGCGACACUAUGUGUUGUUGGGUAGGGGAGCGUUCUGUAAGCCUGUGAAGGUGUACUGUGAGGUAUGCUGGAGGUAUCAGAAGUGCGAAUGCUGACAUAAGUAACGAUAAAGCGGGUGAAAAGCCCGCUCGCCGGAAGACCAAGGGUUCCUGUCCAACGUUAAUCGGGGCAGGGUGAGUCGACCCCUAAGGCGAGGCCGAAAGGCGUAGUCGAUGGGAAACAGGUUAAUAUUCCUGUACUUGGUGUUACUGCGAAGGGGGGACGGAGAAGGCUAUGUUGGCCGGGCGACGGUUGUCCCGGUUUAAGCGUGUAGGCUGAUUUUCCAGGCAAAUCCGGAAAAUCAAGGCUGAGGCGUGAUGACGAGGCACUACGGUGCUGAAGCAACAAAUGCCCUGCUUCCAGGAAAAGCCUCUAAGCAUCAGGUAACAUCAAAUCGUACCCCAAACCGACACAGGUGGUCAGGUAGAGAAUACCAAGGCGCUUGAGAGAACUCGGGUGAAGGAACUAGGCAAAAUGGUGCCGUAACUUCGGGAGAAGGCACGCUGAUAUGUAGGUGAAGCGACUUGCUCGUGGAGCUGAAAUCAGUCGAAGAUACCAGCUGGCUGCAACUGUUUAUUAAAAACACAGCACUGUGCAAACACGAAAGUGGACGUAUACGGUGUGACGCCUGCCCGGUGCCGGAAGGUUAAUUGAUGGGGUUAGCGGUAACGCGAAGCUCUUGAUCGAAGCCCCGGUAAACGGCGGCCGUAACUAUAACGGUCCUAAGGUAGCGAAAUUCCUUGUCGGGUAAGUUCCGACCUGCACGAAUGGCGUAAUGAUGGCCAGGCUGUCUCCACCCGAGACUCAGUGAAAUUGAACUCGCUGUGAAGAUGCAGUGUACCCGCGGCAAGACGGAAAGACCCCGUGAACCUUUACUAUAGCUUGACACUGAACAUUGAGCCUUGAUGUGUAGGAUAGGUGGGAGGCUUUGAAGUGUGGACGCCAGUCUGCAUGGAGCCGACCUUGAAAUACCACCCUUUAAUGUUUGAUGUUCUAACGUUGGCCCGUUAUCCGGGUUGCGGACAGUGUCUGGUGGGUAGUUUGACUGGGGCGGUCUCCUCCUAAAGAGUAACGGAGGAGCACGAAGGUUGGCUAAUCCUGGUCGGACAUCAGGAGGUUAGUGCAAUGGCAUAAGCCAGCUUGACUGCGAGCGUGACGGCGCGAGCAGGUGCGAAAGCAGGUCAUAGUGAUCCGGUGGUUCUGAAUGGAAGGGCCAUCGCUCAACGGAUAAAAGGUACUCCGGGGAUAACAGGCUGAUACCGCCCAAGAGUUCAUAUCGACGGCGGUGUUUGGCACCUCGAUGUCGGCUCAUCACAUCCUGGGGCUGAAGUAGGUCCCAAGGGUAUGGCUGUUCGCCAUUUAAAGUGGUACGCGAGCUGGGUUUAGAACGUCGUGAGACAGUUCGGUCCCUAUCUGCCGUGGGCGCUGGAGAACUGAGGGGGGCUGCUCCUAGUACGAGAGGACCGGAGUGGACGCAUCACUGGUGUUCGGGUUGUCAUGCCAAUGGCACUGCCCGGUAGCUAAAUGCGGAAGAGAUAAGUGCUGAAAGCAUCUAAGCACGAAACUUGCCCCG